rnacentral:rRNA from 1 species
AUUGAACGCUGGCGGCAUGCCUUACACAUGCAAGUCGAGCGGCAGCGCGGGGCAACCUGGCGGCGAGCGGCGAACGGGUGAGUAAUACAUCGGAACGUGCCCAGACGUGGGGGGAUAACUACUCGAAAGAGUGGCUAAUACCGCAUACGAUCUACGGAUGAAAGCGGGGGAUCGCAAGACCUCGCGCGUCUGGAGCGGCUGAUGGCAGAUUAGGUAGUUGGUGGGAUAAAAGCCUACCAAGCCAACGAUCUGUAGCUGGUCUGAGAGGAUGAUCAGCCACACUGGGACUGAGACACGGCCCAGACUCCUACGGGAGGCAGCAGUGGGGAAUUUUGGACAAUGGGCGAAAGCCUGAUCCAGCCAUUCCGCGUGCAGGAUGAAGGCCCUCGGGUUGUAAACUGUC